AAUCAACGCUGGCGGCGUGCCUAGCACAUGCAAGUCGAGCGAGAAAGGGUAGCAAUACCUGAGUAAAGCGGCGCACGGGUGAGUAACACGUGGGUAAUCUGCCUUGGAGUGGGGAAUAACACCGGGAAACCGGUGCUAAUACCGCAUACGAUCACCGGGUUUGCGAAUCUGGUGAUGAAAGGAGCAAUUCGCUCCAAGAGGAGCCCGCGGCUGAUUAGCUAGUGGUGAGGUAAUGGCUCACCAAGGCAACGAUCAGUAGCCGGUCUGAGAGGACGGUCGGCCACACUGGAACUGAGACACGGUCCAGACUCCUACGGAGGCAGCAGUGGGAAUUUUGGCAAUGGGCGAAAGCCUGACCAAGCAACGCCGCGUGGAUGAUGAAGUAUCUC
rnacentral:rRNA from 1 species